CCGACCCUAUAAAGUAUAUAUAUUCUGGAUCCUUAUAGAUAGCGGAGUCGAUUAAGCCAUGUCCGUCUGUCUGUCUGUCUGUCUGUCUGUCUGUCUGUCUGUCUGUCUGUCUGUUGAAAUCAAUUUUCUGAAGACCCCAGAUAUCUUCGGGAUCCAAAUCUUCAAUAAUUCUGUCAGACAUGCUUUCGAGAAUUUUGCUAUUUAAAAUCAGCAAAAUCCGUCCAUAAAUAACGGAGAUAUGAGCAAAAAUCCGUGACAACCUCUGAAAAUUUCAUCAAAAAAAGACAA